GGAGGUAGUGACAAUAAAUCACAAUGUGGAACUUUCGAGUUUUACAAUUGGAAUGAGAACAAUGUAAAUACCUUAUCGAGAAACAAUUGGAGGGCAAGUCUGGUGCCAGCAGCCGCGGUAAUUCCAGCUCCAAUAGCGUAUAUUAACGUUGUUGCAGUUAAAAAGCUCGUAGUUGAAUAGUUGAAAGAUUAUUUGUAAAAUUUAUAAAAUAAUUAUAAAUUAAUUUUUAUUUUUAUUUUAUUUUUACAUAAUUUUAAUCUUUCUUCUUGUACUUUUCUAUUUAAUUUAUCGUAUUCAUUUACGAUAAAUUAAGAAAGUACUCUUUUACUGUGAGAAAAUUAGAGUGUUCAAAGCAAUGUUUUAUAACAUUUUGAAUAGAUUAGCAUGGAAUAAUCUAUUAUAUAUUUGUAUAAAAUAUAUGACAAAUUAUAUAAUAUUUGAUUGGUUUAAUAUAUAGUUUGUUUUUAGUAACAGAUUAAUAGGAUCAGUUGGGGGUAUUCAUAUUUCAUAGUUAGAGGUGAAAUUCUCGGAUUUAUGGAAGAUGAACAAGUGCGAAAGCA
rnacentral:rRNA from 1 species